AAUGAACGCUGGCGGCAUGCCUUACACAUGCAAGUCGAGCGGCAGCAUGACCUAGCUUGCUAGGUUGAUGGCGAGUGGCGAACGGGUGAGUAAUGCAUCGGAACGUGCCUUUUAGUGGGGGAUAACGUAGCGAAAGUUACGCUAAUACCGCAUAUUCUCUGAGGAGGAAAGCAGGGGACCUUCGGGCCUUGCGCUAGAAGAGCGGCCGAUGUCGGAUUAGCUAGUUGGUGAGGUAAAGGCUCACCGAGGCAACGAUCCGUAGCGGGUCUGAGAGGAUGAUCCGCCACACUGGGACUGAGACACGGCCCAGACUCCUACGGGAGGCAGCAGUGGGGAAUUUUGGACAAUGGGCGCAAGCCUGAUCCAGCCAUGCCGCGUGAGUGAAGAAGGCCUUCGGGUUGUAAAGCUCUUUCGGCUGGGAAGAAAUCGCACCCUCUAAUACAGGGUGUGGAUGACGGUACCAGCAUAAGAAGCACCGGCUAACUACGUG
rnacentral:rRNA from 1 species